rnacentral:lncRNA from 1 species
UCGGCCGGGCAAGGCGGCGGGGCGCGGGGCACUGGCAGGGCUCCCCGGCCCGAUCUCCAUGUACAGCUACAUGUUUAGGGCCGCUCGGGUUAAUAUAUGUCGUCAGAAGCGGCGGCCGCCAAUGGCCGGGGCGGGGGCGGAGCCCGCCGCCCUCCGCAAUAAAACUUUUUGAUGUUCGCUCUGCUAAUUGCCGAGCUCCUCUUUUAGGAUUGGCUGCCCCUCCGCAUCCCUAAUGUAAUUAAAACAAGGGGGGAAAAAUUAUCAUGGAGGCAGAGGUUAAUGCAAGUGUUUAGCAGAUGCCUUACAGUAAAACCUGCGUUAAAAAAAAAAAAAAAAAAAAAAUUGAAAAAAACCCCAAACAACAAAAAAACCCCUACAAACUCAUUAAAACUUAAAUAUCGGAUAAUCUCAAACCAGCUUACUGACUGCGCCUAUGCACCUCCACCACCAGCGUUCACCCGAGUGACUCAGGCGCCUGAAAUCGGUUUCAUGCUUCUUGAACCGAUAUGAUCGGAAAGUUAAGAAGACGGAAAAUGAAGAAGUGUACCUCCCCAGACCUGGAGGGAAACGGAGCGGCGGCCAAAAGGAGUGGGUGUAAAUGCGACAACAAAAAUAAAUACUUUAUAUCACCCUGCA